AUUGAACGCUGGCGGCAGGCCUAACACAUGCAAGUCGAGCGAGCGGCGGACGGGUGAGUAAUGUCUGGGAAACUGCCUGAUGGAGGGGGAUAACUACUGGAAACGGUAGCUAAUACCGCAUACCAUCAGAUGUGCCCAGAUGGGAUUAGCUAGUAGGUGGGGUAACGGCUCACCUAGGCGACGAUCCCUAGCUGGUCUGAGAGGAUGACCAGCCAAACUGGAACUGAGACACGGUCCAGACUCCUACGGGAGGCAGCAGUGGGGAAUUUUGGACAAUGGGCGCAAGCCUGAUCCAGCCAUGCCGCGUGUCUGAAGAAGGCCUUCGGGUUGUAAAGGACUUUUGUCAGGGAAGCGGUACCUGAAGAAUAAGCACCGGCUAACUACGUGCCAGCAGCCGCGGUAAUUC
rnacentral:rRNA from 1 species